AAACUUUCAACAACGGAUCUCUUGGUUCUGGCAUCGAUGAAGAACGCAGCGAAAUGCGAUAAGUAAUGUGAAUUGCAGAAUUCAGUGAAUCAUCGAAUCUUUGAACGCACAUCGCGCCCCCUGGUAUUCCGGGGGCAUGCAUGUGCGACGCGUCAUU
rnacentral:rRNA from 1 species